UACAGAGACUGCAAGCGUUAUUCGGAUUCACUGGGCGUAAAGGGUGCGCAGGCGGCCAAGUGUGUGAGGCGUGAAAGCCUGGGGCUUAACUCCAGAAUUGCACCUCAAACUACAUGGCUAGAGCAUUGGAGAGGGUAGCAGAAUUCACGGUGUAGCAGUGAAAUGCGUAGAUAUCGUGAGGAAUACCAGAGGCGAAGGCGGCUACCUGGACAAUUGCUGACGCCCAGGCACGAAGGUCAGGGGAGCAAACGGG
rnacentral:rRNA from 1 species